rnacentral:lncRNA from 1 species
CGAGUACUAGGUGUGGCCUCAUCGCCCUUGGUAUAGUUGGACAUAUUUCGAUAUGUAGAGGGCUAAUGGUGACAAGUUCAUCCUUGAUGUGAUAUGUUUGUGAUGUGAUGCAUUCCAUGAUGGCAUACUUGUAAAUGAACUGUUCUGCUAGUGUGGUUUCCGCUCACUGGGCUUUAUAGCUCACCCCUCUCCCCUAACCCCAGGUUUGCA